ACAUGGUGAAGCUUGUGCCAGCGACAAUCAGAAGAAGAGCUGUCUGCUUGGUUGGUUUCAGAAGGCUGUUUACGCUCAGAAGAAGGAUUUGGGAAUGCCACAACUCCUUUGAAACGUAAAGCAGUGGUGUGGCAUUCAGUGCAGCUGUCAGCUGGGGAGCCCAAAUGCCAUCUGCUAUGGUAGAAGUGACAAGAAAGUGGAAAGACUGAUACCAGCUCCCUGAGCUGGGCUGCAGGCAUGCCAGAGGUCUUCACCCAGCUAUCUGUUCCCAACUGUAUCAUCUCUUGG